rnacentral:rRNA from 1 species
GAUGAACGCUGGCGGCGUGCCUAAUACAUGCAAGUCGAGCGAACAGACGAGGAGCUUGCUCCUCUGACGUUAGCGGCGGACGGGUGAGUAACACGUGGAUAACCUACCUAUAAGACUGGGAUAACUUCGGGAAACCGGAGCUAAUACCGGAUAAUAUAUUGAACCGCAUGGUUCAAUAGUGAAAGACGGUUUUGCUGUCACUUAUAGAUGGAUCCGCGCCGCAUUAGCUAGUUGGUAAGGUAACGGCUUACCAAGGCGACGAUGCGUAGCCGACCUGAGAGGGUGGUCGUCCACACGGGAGCUGAGAACGGGUCCACCCACCGAGGGGAGGCAAGAGGGGGAAAUCUUCCGAAGGGGGGAAAGGCCGGACGGAGCAGCGCAGCGUGAGGGAGAAGUGUGUUGGGAUAGAAAAACUCUUUAAUAGGGGAAAAAAAAAUGUGAAAGUAAUAAUACACGUCUUGAGGGUCCCUAAUAAAAAAACCAGACCAAACCCCGUC